GGGGUUUACUCUAAGAGCAUUUGGACUCAGCAGCUAGAAGGGCACUGGAUUUGGACCCAGGAGCCUGGUUUUGAGACUUCAGCCAGUCACUUUACCUUCUAACCUCACCUUCCUCCUCUGUGAAAUGGGCACAGGAAAAAUCAGCUCACAGGGCAACUGCAUCGUUUGUGGGACAAUGUGUUGCUUUUCAAUGAUGGUAUCACAGCAUCCCCCUCUGCCUCUCCUGGGGUUCACCCAGUGAUGCUUGGACCACACAGAGUCACAGGACCUCCAGACCUUGGCAUGGAGGGCAUUCAGCCAGCAUCUCGUAUGAACAGGAUGCUGUCUGCCCGGCACGAAGCUUGUGCCAGGAUGCAGCUGUGGACGUGACAGAUUCACAUGGACGAGAGCCAGCUGGACCAGCCCAUUUCAUAGACAGAGGAUGGCAAGGCCAAGGCCACAGUGGUAAUCUGUGGCAGCUGAUGCUUCCCGAGUCCUCUGCUGAGGAACUUUCCACGCACUAGGUCAGUCAACCCCAGAGUCUCCAGGAACAGAUACUGCUAGUGUCCCAUGUUCCAGAUGAGAACACUGAGGCCCAGAUUUCUGAGGCCAUUCACAGAGCUGGAGUAGGAAUUCAGGCUGCCCACAUCCAUCCACUCUACUAAAGGCUGGCCCUACCUCCAGUGAGCAGUAGCCCCACAACCACCGUGCAGGGGCAGCAGAACCCAGGAUGCCUUCCUGGGAGCAGAAACAUUUGAAGUGUGGGAUCGGUUCCCAAACCUGAGAGGGACAUAAAUUUUCCCCAGAAGCACCCCGGAAACAGAGGUGGGGAGCAUGGUAGGGCUCACCUCCCCUCUCCAGGCCUGGGGGAAGGUCGGGGAAAGACCCCUUGGGUCUCAGAGCCGGCUU